UACGUAGGGGGCUAGCGUUGUCCGGAAUCAUUGGGCGUAAAGCGCGUGUAGGCGGUUCGGUAAGUCCGCUGUGAAAGUCGGGGGCUCAACCCUCGGAUGCCGGUGGAUACUGCCGGGCUAGAGUCCGGAAGAGGCGAGUGGAACUCCUGGUGUAGCGGUGGAAUGCGCAGAUAUCAGGAAGAACACCAACGGCGAAGGCAGCUCGCUGGGACGGUACUGACGCUGAGACGCGAAAGGCGUGGGGAGCGAACAGG
rnacentral:rRNA from 1 species